GUUAGGUUUAGGGUUAAAAAACUUUGCACUGUUACGUACUCCCAGAUUCGCCACUCGUCAUACACUUCUCAUGGCGCCUCGCCGCCGUCAGCUGGAUCCUUGUGCCUUUCAACCUGGUUCUGUUCUAUAAUUUCAGUCUCAUCCCAGCAAAGCCAUGCCUAUUCCAUACAGAUGUGUUAUCAAUGCAGAUGUCAAGCCCAGGAGGACCCUGGGUGAUCAGGCUAAGAAUCAGGCCCCGCCUCUGGAAAUGAGAGAAGAAAUUGAUGAAGAAUAUAGAGCCUUGACGUACAGGCGAAUUGCCGAACUUGAAGAACGAAUUGCGAGACUUGAAGAACAAGUUGCCAACCUUCAAGAACAAAUAGCUGCGAAACUGAUAGGAAAGCGGCAAAGCAAAUAGAAGCCAAAGGAGUUUCCAAGUAGAGUAUUUCUUUUUUGGGUAAAGUUGAUUUUCUUUUGUGUGCGGAAUUGUGGGCGAUUUGGAAGGUAAUGUCUUUUGCUAAAGAUAAUGGUUGGAAGAUAUAUUUCUUAGUUUCAGAUGCAAAAAUGGUUAUCAAAUAUAUUGAAUCAGGGAGGGGAGCUCCAUUGGAAGAAUAAUUGCA